rnacentral:rRNA from 1 species
GAUGAACGCUGGCGGCGUGCUUAACACAUGCAAGUCGAACGGGAAAUCUUUCAUUGAGACUUCGGUGGAUUUGAUUUAUUUCUAGUGGCGGACGGGUGAGUAACGCGUGGGUAACCUGCCUUAUACAGGGGGAUAACAGUCAGAAAUGGCUGCUAAUACCGCAUAAGCGCACAGAGCUGCAUGGCUCAGUGUGAAAAACUCCGGUGGUAUAAGAUGGACCCGCGUUGGAUUAGCUAGUUGGUGGGGUAACGGCCUACCAAGGCGACGAUCCAUAGCCGGCCUGAGAGGGUGAACGGCCACAUUGGGACUGAGACACGGCCCAGACUCCUACGGGAGGCAGCAGUGGGGAAUAUUGCACAAUGGGGGAAACCCUGAUGCAGCGACGCCGCGUGAAGGAAGAAGUAUCUCGGGAUGUAAACUUCUAUCAGCAGGGAAGAUAGUGACGGUACCUGACGAAGAAGCCCCGGCUAACUACGUG